UAAGGUGGCCGGUUUAUAGAAUUUAAACCAUUUAAAGUUAGCAUGGCAAGCAAAAAAGAAUCUAUCUUGGAUCUAGACCGACACAUUGAUAAGGAAGUUUAUGUCAAGUUUAAUGGAGGGAGAGAGGUAAGAGGAAUUCUCCGUGGCUUCGAUCCCCUGGUCAACCUCGUUCUCGAUGAAUGUGUGGAGUACCUACAUGACCAGAGGGAAGACGGCACAUUUGGAGAGGCAACAAGAAAGCUCGGUCGAGUUUUAUGCCGUGGUCUUGUCGUGAUGUGUAUUAGUCCGGUUGAAGGGUUCGAGCAACUAACCAAAAACCCAUUUGAAUGUCAUGACACAAAUGCACAAGCUUCUGGUUAAAGUCAGUUCUAUUCAAGGCGUACCAUAUUAACAUUUUCAACUAUCAGUUAAUUUUCCUGCGACUUAGUAGCUUUCGAUAUGAUGAUUAAUGACAAGGCGUCGGCAAUAAUUCGCUUACAUCGAUUCUGCUUAUUGCAUUUAAUGCCACUUUCUAAACAUAUAUAUGCUUUAAAUCUGUGUCAUAACUUCUGAAAUUUUUUCAAAAUUGUCUUGUCGUUCCUUUUUGAAUUUAUUCUUUCAACAGCAGUUACCUCUGUUUUUGUUUUAUUCUCUGUAUCGGUAUUUGUUUCUUCAGCGGUAUCUGCUAUUUUCAUCUGUUCCCAGUUCUUGUCUACAAUCCCAGACUUCAGCCUGUUGGUUAAACCAUGUUGAUUUAUGUCAAUUAAACCUACUUGAAUGAUAUAAAUGCUUUGUUUUUAUAGUUUCUAGGUCCAAGCUCAUUUCUUAAUGUUUUUUUAUCAAGUCUAAUCUAUAACUAUUAUAGAAGUGUCUCUUUUUUUCUUGUUAGUGUUCUAAUCGUUUUUUUAGUAUAUGGAUACCAAUAAUAACACGCGUUUGUAUGUAACAUCUUAAUUGCCUAUCAAAUACUUUCAUGCGUUGGGUAAUUUUCUCUUAUCCUAUCUGUUUCCAACUAAUUCACGGUCUCUCUCUUUUAACUGUUAUUGGCCAUGCCGCUUCACACACAGUUAAUUCUUUUAGUUUGUUUAAACCUGAUGUAGCGUCUACCAAGUAUAUUGUAUAUCCAAUCAAUUGCUGAGUGUCUCCAUAUUGCUAAAUACUUUGGCUUUGCUUUACACUAUAUCUUUAUGGUGAUAUAUCGCAGUAUUUGUUUACGACCUAUCUCAUAAUUCACAAAUAGUCUUUGUUGACAUUCUGUUAUUUCUCCACGCAAUCUGCUCCCUGGUUAUGAAAACAUCUACUUUCUUUUUAAUUGCAUGUGCAUGUCGACGUACUCGCUGUCUUCGUUUUGCUAAAGAUGCUUUUGUACUGUUGUUCUUCAUAGUCCUCCGUUAGUGCGUGCUCAACCUUCAAGUCGGACAGCCAACCAUUUUUCCGACCCAUCUUCACGAAGCUCGGCGCCUAUCUGUUACAAUUGCUUACUAGAGUGAUAUUCGAUCACUUUCAUUCUAGACGUUAUCGAUGCAUUUCAGUUUAUCUAAUUGUUUUUAUGUUAGCUCCUGCAUAUUUCAGAUGUUGUUAUUUAGUUCCCUUACUCACUAUCUAAAUUUUCAUUUAUUAAAAGUCUCACGUUCGACUUAUACUAGCUUAGAUAUUCAAAAUUCAACGAUUACUCCAUCAUUUAACCCCAUAUUCAAUGUGUUUUAAUUUAUCUGUCUCGAACAAAUAGUAAUUCGUACAUCUGUCGACUGGCUUCGUCCCUUUCAUGUCAAGGGACAAGACAGACGCCGGUGAACGGGUCAUAGGCUAUGGCGUCUCUAUUCAUUAGAAAAUAGAAUGAGGAUGUUUGUGCUUUUCCGCUAUUCAUCUAUAGGAUAAUCAAAAAACCUCAAUUCAUGGUGUGUGUUUUUAAAUACCAAUACAGCUGUAUUUUUAGUGAGAUAAAUACGAAAUCGAGCCCAGAUUUGUGAAAAAGGUCCAGCAAGACUGCUAGAGAAAAUGCCCUCUCGUACAGGGUAUUGUAUAAAACAAAAAUAAGGUGCAGUUGGAGAUAGUAGCAAAAAUGAAAUUUGUUAUCUUGAAACUAUAAAUAUGACAGAAUUAAGAAGAGAAAGAAUGAAUUCUAGAUGCUUUCUGUAGUAUGAGUUCCAUAAUAUUAUCACCAAAUGAAAAACAGUUGAUAGUUUUCUUACCGUGUUAACAAGAAGGUGAUUUAAAUCGCACUUGGGCGGGGCAUUGGAAUCAACAGUUUUACAUCAGGGAAUUAAAACAUAUUUAGGCCAACAAAGAAAAUUGUUAGGGCUGAGUUUAAGAUGGGAAAUACGUAAAUCUUGGGAUCUAUGCUUUGUAUUGAUUCGCUGAAAUCAUGUAGAAUAACAAUGAUAGGGCAUAGAUCUAUUAGAAAAUUUAAAUUCAAGACAAGAUUUCUUUUGUCUAAUUAGUUCAAACGCCCAUUAAGCUAAAGUGGGUAGCCCUAUCGUAAGGUAUUGUAUUAAUGAGCCGAAGCAAAUAUAGCGGAUAGCAAUAUUUAGUUAUAAGGUGAAAAA